GGAGAGGUGGCUGAGUGGUUGAAAGCGAUACACCGCUAACGUAUUAGGGGCUUUAAAACCCCUCGAGGGUUCGAAUCCCUCCCUCUCCG
rnacentral:tRNA from 1 species